GAUGAACGCUGGCGGCGUGCCUAAUACAUGCCAGUCGAGCGAACAGACGAGGAGCUUGCUCCUCUGACGUUAGCGGCGGACGGGUGAGUAACACGUGGAUAACCUACCUAUAAGACUGGGAUAACUUCGGGAAACCGGAGCUAAUACCGGAUAAUAUAUUGAACCGCAUGGUUCAAUAGUGAAAGACGGUUUUGCUGUCACUUAUAGAUGGAUCCGCGCCGCAUUAGCUAGUUGGUAAGGUAACGGCUUACCAAGGCAACGAUGCGUAGCCGACCUGAGAGGGUGAUCGGCCACACUGGAACUGAGACACGGUCCAGACUCCUACGGGAGGCAGCAGUAGGGAAUCUUCCGCAAUGGGCGAAAGCCUGACGGAGCAACGCCGCGUGAGUGAUGAAGGGCUUCGGAUCGUAAACUCUGUUAUUAGGGAAGAACAAAUGUGUAAGUAACUAUGCACGUCUUGACGGUACCUAAUCAGAAAGCCACGGCUAACUACGUG
rnacentral:rRNA from 1 species